rnacentral:rRNA from 1 species
CCAAUAGCGUAUAUUAAAGUUGUUGCAGUUAAAAAGCUCGUAGUUGAAUUUCGGGGUCAGUAGUUUGGUCAUGCCACAGGUAUGUACUGAUCUUACUGAUUCCUCCUUCCUGAUGAACCGUAAUGCCAUUAAUUUGGUGUUGCGGGGAAACUGGACUGUUACUUUGAAAAAAUUAGAGUGUUUAAAGCAGGCUAACGCUUGAAUACAUUAGCAUGGAAUAAUGAAAUAGGACGUUCGAUCCUAUUUUGUUGGUUUCUAGGAUUGACGUAAUGAUUAAUAGGGAUAGUUGGGGGCAUUAGUAUUCAAUUGUCAGAGGUGAAAUUCUUGGAUUUAUUGAAGACUAACUACUGCGAAAGCAUUUGCCAAGGAUGUUUUCAUUAAUCAAGAACGAAAGUUAGGGGAUCGAAGACGAUCAGAUACCGUCGUAGUCUUAACCAUAAACUAUGCCGACUAGGGAUCGGAUGAUGUUAAUUUUUUAAUGACUCAUUCGGCGCCUUACG